rnacentral:misc_RNA from 1 species
AAGUCGUAACAAGGUCUCCGUUGGUGAACCAGCGGAGGGAUCAUUACAGAGUUGCAAAACUCCCCAAACCAUCGCGAACCCACCCCUACACAGUUGCUUCGGCGGCGCCCGAAGGCCCUCAGCGGCCGGAGUGCCCGCCGGGGACCCCCCCGAACUCUUGUUUUUAAACAAAAUGGCCUCUCUGAGUACUGUACUGUAAUAAGUCAAAACUUUCAACAACGGAUCUCUUGGUUCUG